rnacentral:rRNA from 1 species
CAAUAGCGUAUAUUUAAGUUGUUGCAGUUAAAAAGCUCGUAGUUGGAUUUCGGAUGGGACUUGCCGGUCCGUCGUUUCGAUGUGCACUGGCCAGUCCUAUCUUGUUGUCGGGGACUAGCUCCUGGGCUUCACUGUCCGGGACUAGGAGCCGACGAAGUUACUUUGAGUAAAUUAGAGUGUUCAAAGCAAGCCUACGCUCUGAAUAUAUUAGCAUGGAAUAACACGAUAGGACUCUGGCUUAUCUUGUUGGUCUGUGAGACCAGAGUAAUGAUUAAGAGGGACAGUCGGGGACAUUCGUAUUUCAUUGUCAGAGGUGAAAUUCUUGGAUUUAUGAAAGACGAACUUCUGCGAAAGCAUUUGUCAAGGAUGUUUUCAUUA